rnacentral:snoRNA from 1 species
AGCGUAUGGUGAGGGCACCUUCUCAAUAGAUCCUUGUAUCUCUCCCAUGCAUCAUAGAGUGUUUCUAAAUCCAUCUACACAAAAGAAGAAAUAUCAUUCCUUAAUUU